rnacentral:ncRNA from 1 species
AGGAGUCGUGUGAGACGAAAGUCUCAUGCACGGUUUUGAACGAGAGAAAGAAGUGAGGAAUCCUCUUUUCGACUCUGAC